rnacentral:rRNA from 1 species
CAUUGUCGGUUCCGGUCCCUUGAAUUGUGUAGGGGAUGAAGACGAGGUCGGCAUGCCGAGCUCGCCUCCUCCCCGCCCUGAGAUCUUGGCGGCGUGCGCAGACUGGGCCUUAUAGCGGUGCAUCGCGUGGCUCUGUUCUAAUGUCGUGAUGCCGUUUAGCGGUCGAAGGUGAUUGAAUGCCGUGGUUGAAUGCAUGUUCUUGCUGGGGUGGGGGAGUGCUCAGGUUUGUUCUCGAUUGCGAWUGGUGCGCUUCAACGACGUCUGUCGUCGGGCGAGUGGUCCUGCCUGGUUGCGUUGAGAGGAGAUCUGAGCUUUUCACCCACUUAGUCGCAUGCUUUGAUUGCGCGCGCGGCGCUGUGCCAGGGAUCCGUCGUUCCGACGGCGGCAAGUCGGGACUGCCGCAACCCCCUGUUGCCUUUUUUGGGUGAAUAUCAUGUUGGUUGGAGUGGUCUUUGUCACGGAUGGGUGCACUCGCGUGUCUUGCGGGGCAGGGCUCCUCGUCCUGUUGACAUGGUCCACUCUUUGCGACGUUCACCUUUGCGAGGCGAUAGGGCGGGGACACAGCAAACCGUUCUUUGGUGCGCCCUUUGUGGAGGCAGAGCCUCUCGAAUAUGGGGUACUAGAGGAUGGGAUGUGUCAACACCCAACACUUGGGUGCAACAUGCACCCUCCAAAUCCAAACAAUGAUGUGCGAGUCAAGCGCCUUGCGCGUUUGGGUCGCAAAAAAGUGGAAACGUAAAGAAAAAAAACAUGACUCUCGGCAACGGAUAUCUCGGCUCUCGCCACGAUGAAGAAUGUAGCGAAAUGCGAUACUUAGUGUGAAUUGCAGAAUCCCGUGAAUCAUCGAGUCUUUGAACGCAAGUUGCGCCCGAGGCCUCGGCCAAGGGCACGUCUGCUUGGGCGUCGCACUCCAAAAUCGCUCUCCCACGUGGAGGUGCGCAGAUGGCCGUCCGUGCCCUUUAGCGAUGCGGUCGGCUGAAAUGAGCGUGAGGACCAUCGACACGCAGCGACGAGCGGUGGCCUGUGCAGGUCGGCGUUGGUUUGCGCGGCUCGAGUGAGGUCCAACGGGGAACUUUAAUUCGGCCACAACGGUUUGCCUUAGUGCGGGCAAGUUGGUGUUACUGU